rnacentral:tRNA from 1 species
GCGCCCGUAGCUCACCCGGAUAGAGCGCCAGGCUUCGAACCUGGAGGCAGGGGGUUCGAGUCCCUCCGGGCGCG